AACGAACGCUGCCGCAUGCCUAACACAUGCAAGUCGAACGAGACCUUCGGGUCUAGUGGCGCACGGGUGCGUAACGCGGGGGAAACUGCCCUUAGGUUCGGAAUAAACCCCCGAAAGGGGUUCCAAUACCGGAUAAUGUCCUCGGACCAAAGAUUUAUCGCCUUUGGAUGGGCCCGCGUUGGAUUAGCUAGUUGGUAGGGUAAAAGCCUACCAAGGCGACGAUCCAUAGCUGGUCUGAGAGGAUGAUCAGCCACACUGGGACUGAGACACGGCCCAGACUCCUACGGGAGGCAGCAGUGGGGAAUAUUGGACAAUGGGCGAAAGCCUGAUCCAGCAAUGCCGCGUGAGUGAUGAAGGCCUUAGGGUUGUAAAGCUCUUUUACCCGGGAUGAUAAUGACAGUACCGGGAGAAUAAGCUCCGGCUAACUCCGUG
rnacentral:rRNA from 1 species